UACGAAGGGGGCUAGCGUUGUUCGGAAUCACUGGGCGUAAGGCGCACGUAGGCGGAUCUUUAAGUCAGAGGUGAAAUCCCAAGGCUCAACCUUGGAACUGCCUUUGAUACUGGGGAUCUUGAGUCCGGGAGAGGUGAGUGGAACUGCGAGUGUAGAGGUGAAAUUCGUAGAUAUUCGCAAGAACACCAGUGGCGAAGGCGGCUCACUGGCCCGGUACUGACGCUGAGGUGCGAAAGCGUGGGGAGCAAACAGG
rnacentral:rRNA from 1 species